rnacentral:rRNA from 1 species
UACGUAGGUGACAAGCGUUGUUCGGAAUCACUGGGCAUAAAGCGCACGUAGGCGGCGACGUAAGUUGGGUGUGAAAUCCUCGGCCCAACCGAGGAACUGCGCCCAGUACUGCGUUGCUUGAGGAUCCAAGGGGUGCAUGGAAUUCCCGGUGGAGCGGUGAAAUGCGUUGAUAUCGGGAGGAACUCCGGCGGCGAAGGCGGGUAGCUGGGCCGACACUGACGCUGAGGCGCGAAAGCCAGGGGAGCGAACGGG